GGUCAACUGAGCAUCACCUCUCCAUAAAUAUAAUUUUCCACUCAAGAGCUCAAUGUCAAAAACCCGGAACCUCCGAGUGAUGGGGUCUCGGGACAUUUUAUUCAAGUUGAGAGAUGGAAUAGAGAUGAACUGGCACCGGGGCUAGUCUCUUCUUUAUAUGCACAGUACAAUCACACCUGGAGGAGGUUUCAUGCAAUACCUCUUCUUAAAGUAUAGAGCUAGCCUGUUUUUUAGUAGCCACACUGAGGAAAUACCAGAAUGGUAAAGAAGUAUUGGAUUUUGAAUGUAUUAGAGGAUGUUACUGUAGUUAAAUGCAUACCUACUGAAGUAUUGCCCAGCUUCCCCUAAGUAGUGUCCAGAACUCCUUUGCAGCUUUUGUUCAGGAAUGAUAUAAAUCAUAGAAUCAUAGGUAGAAUGAUAAGAUCAUCUAGUAUUACAUUCAUGUUUUACAUUUGAAGAAACUGAAAACCAACAAAGUGACAGGACUUGGACAAGGUCACACAAUGUGUUGGAACAAAAGGCUGGACAAUUUGCAUGUGCACUUACUACAUUUACAUGCCUAACUACCCCACAGGAAGAUUCCUAUGCCAAUUGGCAUUUGAAAAUGUGUUAACUGAGCUUACAGAAUGGUGGUGCUUUGAAAUCCUGGGAAUCUUAAUCAUCAAAAAGGAGAGGUGAGUCAGAGUGGGCAGAAAACGAUGGUCCAUUUUGAAGGGAUCUGAGCACAACCAGUGUGAAGGCACACAAGGAGAAGCUAUUGGUGCACAAGUGGAUGAAAUCCUGGGUUUUGAGAUAGUACUUUGGAAACCAACAGAUUCCUCAGGGAAAGCAUUUCGGGCAUUAGCUAAUUGGAUUAGUUGUGUGUUUUCUGUGAAUGCUAAGGAAUUUAUAAGCUGUAGAUUAAAAUCUUCA